GGCACUGUGGCACAGUGGGCAGCGUUGUUGCCUUGCAGCAAAAAGUUGUGGCUUCGAAUACAGCCUGGGACC